GGUAACCUGAGGUUUCAGCAGACAUGGCUCCCAAUGUUCCAGAGGAUGAUCUGGCCCAAGAGUAUCCUAAAGGCAUCUGGGCCAUGCUGCUGGGGCCUCCCGGGGCUGGCAAGGGUACCCAGGCACCCAAAUUGGCCAAAAACUUCUGUGUUUGCCAUUUGGCUACUGGGGACAUGCUAAGGGCUAUGGUGGCUUCUGGUUCAGAGCUGGGGGAAAAAGCUGAAAGUAACAAUGGAUGCUAGGAAACUGGUGAGCAAUGAAAUGGUGGUGGAAUUAAUUGAGAAGAAUUUGAAGACCCCUUCAUGCAAGAAUGGUUUUUUUUUCAGAUGGCUUCCCUUGGACUGUGAGGCAGGCAGAAAUGUUCUAUGACCUCAUGGUGAAGAGGAAAGAGAAGCUUGAUUCUGUGAUUGAAUUCAGUAUCCCAGACUUUCUGCUCAUCCAGAGAAUCACAGGAAGGCUGGUUCACCCCAUGAGUGGCUGUUCCUACCACGAGGAAUUCAACCCACCAAAAGAGCCCAUGAAAGAUGAUAUCACUGGAAAGCCUCUGGUCCGCGGAUCAGAUGAUAAUGAGAAGGUUCUGAGACUCUGCUUGGAAGCCUACCAUACUCAGACCACCCCACUGGCGGACUACUACCGGAAACGCGGCAUCCACUGUGCCAUCGAUGCGUCCCAGACCCCUCAUGUCAUAUUUGCAAGCAUCCUAGCAGCCUUCUCCAAAGUCACAUCCUAGUAACAGAAGGCCAAGUGAGACUACACUGCUGCUUAUCACCCCGAGGCGUGAUCCCUGCUCGUAGGUGCUGAGCAGAGGGGAGGGGUGG